AUGUGUAAGUAAAAUUAAUCGACUACGAAAUUGCGAAUGGCUCAUAAUAUCAGUUAUAGUUUUAAUGGUGAAGGAUACUAAUAGGAUAACCGUAGAAAUACUAGGGCUAAUACAUGAGUAAAGUCCCAUAGGGAUGUGUUUAUUAGAAUGAAAACCAUAUGCUUCGGCAUGAUAGUGAGUAAUAGUAACCUAUCGUAUCGCAUGCUUAAAGUAGCGAUGAGUCUUUCAAGUUUCUGCCCUAUCAGCUUUCGAUGGUAGCAUAUGGGUCUACCAUG
rnacentral:rRNA from 1 species